UUUUUCUUAGUAUAAAAAGUAUAUUUAACUUCCAAUUAAAAGGUUUAUUAAUUAAGAAAAAA
rnacentral:tRNA from 1 species